rnacentral:rRNA from 1 species
UACGUAGGGUGCAAGCGUUAAUCGGAAUUACUGGGCGUAAAGCGUGCGCAGGCGGUGAUGUAAGACAGUUGUGAAAUCCCCGGGCUCAACCUGGGAACUGCAUCUGUGACUGCAUCGCUGGAGUGCGGCAGAGGGGGAUGGAAUUCCGCGUGUAGCAGUGAAAUGCGUAGAUAUGCGGAGGAACACCGAUGGCGAAGGCAAUCCCCUGGGCCUGCACUGACGCUCAGGAGCGAAAGCGUGGGGAGCGAUCCGG